rnacentral:tRNA from 1 species
GGUAAAAUGGCCGAGUAGGUAUUAGGCUGUAAACCUAAAAACAGAGGUAGUAAGUCCUCUUUUUACCA